GAUAUGAUCAUGGAUCAGAAUGAACAAUGACGGCAGGCUUAGCACAUGCAAGUCGAGCGCAGUAUCACUAAUAGUGGCAGACGGUUGAGUAACAUGUAGGUAUCUGCGGUUUAGCCAGGAAUAACACGAGGAAACUUGUGAUAAUACGAGAUAAGUCUUUAGGGGGAAAGCUUUAUGCAUCAGGGAUGAGCGUGCACAAGAUUAGUUUGUUGGUAAGGUAAUGGCCCGCCAAGACUGUGAUCAAUAGCACAUUUGAGAGGAUGAUCAGCCACAUUGGGACUGGGACACGGCCCAGACUCUUACGGGAGGCAGCAGUGGGGAAUAUUGGACAAUGGGGGCAACCCUGAUCCAGCGAUGCGGGUUGAGUGAUGAAGGCCCUAGGGUUGUAAAACUAUUUUGUCAGGGAAGAUAAAGACGGUACCGAAAGAAAAAGAUCCGGCUAACUCCGUCCCCACACCCGCGGUAAUACGGAGGGAUCUAGCGUUAUUGGGAAUUACUGGGCGUAAAGCGAGCGUAGGCUGAUUUGUAAGUUGGAUGUGAAAUCCCAGAGCUAACUGAGGAACUGCAUCCAAAACUACAUUUCUGAGUUUGGUAGAGGAGAGUGGAAUUCGUAAUGUAGAGGUGAAAUUUGUAGAUAUUAGGAGGAACACCAGUGGCGAAGGCGACUCUCUGGGCCAAUACUGACGCUGAGGUUCGAAAGCGUGGGUAGCGAACAGGAUUAGAUACCCUGGUAGUCCACGCAGUAAACGAUGAAUGCUAGAUGUUGGAAACAUUAGUUUACAGUAUCGCAGCUAACGCAUUAAGCAUUCCGCCUGGGAAGUACGGCCGCAAGGCUAGAACUCAAAUGAAUUGACGGGGACCCGCACAAGCGGUGGAUCAUGUGGUUUAAUUCGAAGCAACGCGAAGAACCUUACCGGCCCUUGACAUACCAAUCGCGAACUUAAGAGAUUAAGUUCUUCACUUCGGGUGGAUUGGAUACAGGUGCUGCAUGGCUGUCGUCAGCUCGUGUCGUGAGAUGUUGGGUUAAGUCCCGCAACGAGCGCAACCCCUACCUUCAAUUGCCAGCACGUUAUGGUGGGAACUUUGAAGGAACUGCCGGUGAUAAGCCGGAGGAAGGUGGGGAUGACGUCAAGUCCUCAUGGCCCUUACGGGCCGGGCUACACACGUGAUACAAUGGUAACUACAAAGAGCAGCGAUGGAGCAAUCUUCAGCAAAUCUCCAAAAGUUACCUCAGUUCGGAUUGUACUCUGCAACUCGAGUACAUGAAGUUGGAAUCGCUAGUAAUCGUCGAUCAGCGCGCUACGGUGAAUACGUUCCCGGGUCUUGUACACACCGCCCGUCACACCAUGGGAGUUGGUUUUACCUGAAGCUGGUUUGCUAGCCGUAAGGAGGCAGCCAACCACGGUAGGAUUAGCGACUGGGGUGAAGUCGUAACAAGGUAACC
rnacentral:rRNA from 1 species